UACGUAGGGUGCGAGCGUUGUCCGGAAUUAUUGGGCGUAAAGGGCUCGUAGGCGGUUUGUCGCGUCGGGAGUGAAAACCAGGUGCUUAACACCUGGCUUGCUUUCGAUACGGGCAGACUAGAGGUAUUCAGGGGAGAACGGAAUUCCUGGUGUAGCGGUGAAAUGCGCAGAUAUCAGGAGGAACACCGGUGGCGAAGGCGGCAUCCUGGACCAAUUCUGACGCUGAGGAGCGAAAGCCAGGGGAGCAAACGGG
rnacentral:rRNA from 1 species